rnacentral:lncRNA from 1 species
CAGUUCUGGAAGCUGAAUCAUUGAUUAUGCCCUUUAUUUUUGUUUUUAAAAUAUUAAUGUUCAAAUUAAAAGAUAGGAAGGCUCUUCAGUAAAGGGCCUCCCUCCCUCUUUCGCCACUCUGAUCCCUUCCUGGAGGUAACUUGUUGCAGGCUUUUUUUUUUUUUUUUGUACUGGAGAUUGAACUCGGGGGCUCUCAACCACUGAGCCACAUCCCCAGCUCUAUUUUGUAUUUCAUUUAGAGACGGGGUCUCACUGAGUUACUUAGUGCCUUGCUUUUUGCUGAGUCUGGCUUUGAACUCGUGAUCCACCUUCCUCAUGGUGCAGGCUUCUUUUGGAUCCCUCUGGAUAGAUUAAAAGUCCCGACAGGUUCUACCAAAUUGCCCUUCAAAAGCAUUCUUGCUAGCUGGUUGUGGUGGUACACACCUGUAUUCCCGAUUCAGGAGGGUGAGGCAGGAGGAUUGAAAGUUCAAAGCCAACCUCAUCAACUUAGCAAGACCAUGUCUCAAAAUUAAAAAAAGGGCUGGGGAUGUGGCUCAGUGGUUAACUAUCCUGGGUUCAAACCCUGGUACCAAAAAAAAAACAAAAAACAAAAAAAUUAAGCAUUCUUGCUUUACCAGCCUCACCAUCAUCGACAGGGUCUCUUGUCACCUGCUUUGCAAACUGUCCUUUUCCAUUUCUAGCUCUGUGCACCUGCCUUUUCACUUUUACACAAUCAGGUAUUUAAAAAAAAAUUUACAUUCUAUUGUAUAAUGAUAAUGAAAUCUUCUGUACUUUACCUAAAGGUUUAUUUUAAAAGCUGAAAAACAAAGUGUUUCUAUUACUAAAAUUACAAGGAUAGUUUACUAAGUAGUAUAAUGCCAUGAUUUCUCACACAGCUCAUCCCUUCUAGGUUCAUAAUUACCUCUAUUUGCUUUUAUUAUGUGCUCUAAAAUGUUGAAAAUAAAAUUAGGUAGGGAGACUCCAACCCUGAUAGAAUUAGCCAUAGAGACACUAUUAUUUUGGAAGUGAAGAGCAGGAGGACUGCCUUCGGCGCCCAGAUGCCAGGAAGCCUGGAUAGGAGGCAAGCCCUCACCAACUCUGGAAAGAUUAGUUCUCACGCCAUACCACUGCCCUGCUAGAUGCUGGAGCUCGUGUCACCUUCCUAGGAAAACUUAUGCAAAAGAUCUAUGUGUUUGCAUUUAAAGGAGGCCUCAUAUGUAGUGAACUCUCCUGGUGGUUGGCCAGACUCAGCAUCCACAAGGCCCCAACCUCCUCCUAAGGAACCUUGAUAAUGGGAAUUCAGAUUCUUAGGGCAGGCUGUAGGGAAUGCUCUUAGGUCAUGACUUUGGGUAUUGACCCAUUUUCUGGGGUUGGUCCAGGUAGGUACCAUAGUCAAACCCCACUUCCCUAUAGUCCGUGCCUAUGUGAGGCAGACAUCAACCGAUGGAUUCAGAUGGUAGCAUGUUUUCUCUUUGACACACUUUCUAAUAUUUGUAACUUGCACAUCAUCAUGGACCCAGGGUCUAACUUAAUCUCAAAGGAUUCUAGUGACUCAUUUAAAAUUUUUUUUUAUUGUGAUAAAAUACAACAAAAUUUUAUUAUAUCAACCAUCUUUUAGGUGAAUACAGUUCGGCGAUACUAAAUGCAUUCAGAAUGUGCAGCCAUCCCCAUCAUCCAUCUCCAGUGCUUUUUCAUCUUAUAAAACUGAAAUUCUGCAUCCAUUAAACAAUGACUCCCCAGUCCUCCAUUCUCCCCAGUCCCCAGCAACCAACAUUUUAUUCUCUACAAUUUUGAUUACUCUUAACUACCUCAUACAAAUGAAAUCUCAAUGUUUUUCUUGUUGCAAUUAGCUUAUGUUACUUAACAUAAUGUCCUCAAGGUCAAUCCAUAUGUAAUGUCAGAAUUCCCUUUCCUUUUAAAACUGAAUAAUAAUCUGUUGUGUGUAUAGACCACAUUUUUGCUUAUCCAUUCUCCUGUAGUUGGUCACUUUGGGGUUGCUUCCGUGUUAUAUCUACUGUGAAUAAUGCUACUAUGAAUAUAUCUCUUUGAGACCCUGCUUUCAUUCUUUUGGAAAUAACCCAGAACUGGAAUUGCCGUAUUACAUGAUAAGUCUGUUUUUAAUUUUUAAAGGAACUGCCAUAUUGUUUUCCACAGCAGCCCUGCCACUUACAUUCCCACCAACAGUGCACAAGUGUUCUUUUUCCCACAUCAUAGCCAGCGUUUGCUAUUUUUUUUUUUAAUAGAAACACCCUAAUGGGUGUCAGGUAGUAUCUCACGUAAUUUUGAUUUGCCUUUGUCUAGUGUUUAGUGGUGUUGACCAUCUUAUUAACCAUUUAUCUUCAGAGAAAUGUCUAUUCGAAUUCUUUGUGACCAUUGCUUUCUUUUUGAUGUUAUAAUUUGGUUCCUUUCAUUGACUCUGCUGGCAUCCCUCUGGAUAUCUUUCCAACUAAUUAUACUCCCAACUUUAGUUUUCUUGUCUGAAACAGAAAUAACUACUCUGAUUGCCCUUUGUGUUAAAAAAAUGUAUUAGAAAUCCAAAAAAUGGGAUUAUUUCAAAAUGGCACAGUGAAUUCACAUUUGAUCAUCUUCUACAAUAAAGGCACACAGGACUGAAAAGACUGGUCCAAAAAGAAGGCAAAUGGUUCCAUGGGCCAGAAACAGAACCAAAGUGCAACACAUUGAGCAAAGUUGAAGCUGUGGCCUGCUGCAUCUGGAGCUUGGUGGUGGUGGUGGCUGAGAAUUCCUUUCUGUGGGUGAAAGGAUCUGAAGAAGCUCCAACAUAGACAGGAGAUGGGGACAACUGUCACUGCUUCCACCCAGUUCAUGAAAGCAGGUCAGCCAGCAAACAAAGGCACACUGCCCCUGCUGUGCAUCUGGGCUGUGGCUUUGAGAAUGACAAAGCAGAUAUUCACCAACCCAAACCCAUCCUGAGCUGGGUCUGGGCUAUUCCCAGGUCACUUCACUCCAGGGCCCCAUCUGCUUGCCAUUAGAAGAUCAAGCUGUAGAGUGUGGAUGGCCAGAAGGAAAGGAGGAGGCAGCAGCAAAACCCUUAUCAGGAAGGAACAACUGCUUACAAUUUUUGGCUCUCCAUAUGUCAGAGGAAAACAGGCAUAGGGUGUCCUUUACCUUCUGGUCCUCUCUAUGAGGGUUUUAG